ACAGAGGAAAUGACCUGUAGCAGAAUGGAUUAAUGGAAUUAUGGACCCUGGAUAUAUGGAGGACAUACAUUAACCAAGGUACAACACAUUGAAUAAAAUAAUUCUAUACCAGGUGGAACGACUGGUAGCAGCAUGGAUUAAUGGACAUAUGGAUAUUGGAAAUAUGGAGAACAUACAUUAACCAAGGUACAACACAUUGAAUAAAAUAAUUCUAUACCAGGUGGACAACUGAUAGCAGUAUGGAUUAAUGAAAUUAUGGUUAAAAAUUUAUGGAGAACAUGAAUUAACCGAGACUGUAUGGAUAGAAUUCAAGCUGAAGGAACCUGGUAAAUCUUUGAAAACCUGAAAACCUUCUAAAACUAGAAUCUCUUGAAACCUUCAAGGAUAUCAGUAGUUCAACUGAACAUCAAAGAAGUCUGAGGAUUUCUGAAUACAAAGAGAACUGAGCGGGUUCAAGCUAAGAAAACCUCCUAGCUCAUGGAAGGAGAGAGCGGGUCUUAAACCUUAAUAAGAUCUCCUAGCUCAACUCUUCACCCAGUUAAAUCUUAAAAGAAGCUGAGUGGUUUAGUAUACCUGGAGACAUUACUGCACAUGCUCUGGGGAAAUAGCAGAGCAACUACAGGGUAACGUAACCAGACAAGAUUAACCUGAGGAAGGACCUCCACUACAGCAUCCUUUUAAUGGAUAAAAGGCGAGAACCUGUGGAACCUCCCCUAACUUAUCUUGGUGCAGAAUAGUCCAGAAGCUAACUAUAACCCAGAUAAAUAAACUAAACCUAAGAA